UACGAGGGGUCCUAGCGUUGUUCGGAAUCAUUGGGCGUAAAGAGUAUGUAGGCGGCUAGAUAAGUCAGGUGUGAAAUCCCCGGGCUCAACCCGGGAAGUGCAUUUGAUACUGUUUAGCUUGAGUAUGGAAGAGGGUAGUGGAAUUCCUGGUGUAGUGGUGAAAUACGUAGAUAUCAGGAGGAACACCGGUGGCGAAGGCGGCUACCUGGUCCUAUACUGACGCUGAGAUACGAAAGCAUGGGGAGCAAACAGG
rnacentral:rRNA from 1 species